GCCAAAGUUCAUUCCAUCAGAGGUGUUGCAGUGUGGUGGGGAGGAGUCUUGCGGUGAGAAACAGGUAGAUGCUGCUGCAGUGGAAACCGAGGAAGUGCGAGAAUGUGCGUCCUCCACAUGUCUGUCCUCGAAGCCUGUCCUGCUCCAACAAGGGGACCCCAAGAACAGCAUUUAGUGGCGGCCUAGCACCUGAAGUCCUCGGAUCCACCACCAGAUCUUGAGCCCUUCAGGGGCUGAGGUUGAAUCUGGUACAACAUCUCUGCCUGUAUCUGGUGCCCAGCCUAGAAGCUGGUGUAGAUGAGGGGCCAGGAAAGGGAUGGAGGAUCCUGCAGCAUGGCCUGGGAAUUCAGGACUUCAACGACAAUGAAGAAGAAAUACUGCCAAGAGCUGAGGUACCACUGGCAUCACUUGGGCCUGUGCCAUUCUGCCCACAUCCCCUUGGAAGUACAGAAUGGAGUACAGAAUCCCCCUCCUAUCUGGACUAGGCAGGGAGUUGAGGUGUGAUGAGGCCUUGCCAGCCGCUCUUCAUGGUGGGAAUACAUUCAAAUCCAGCCUCACCUGGAUAUCCCCCAGAAGUGCCUUUUACCACCCGCUGUGAGUCUGAGGCCUCCCCAGCCAUGAGGAACUGUAAGUCCAAUUAAACUUCUUUUUCUUUCCAGUCUUGGGUAUGUCUUUAUCAGCAGCAUGAAAACCGACUAAUACACCAGGUUCAAGGUGAUGCUGUUCUCAUUCCACAAAUACAGUGUUGGCUGAAUCAGUCAGCAGGAUGCCUGGUCCUCCCCAGCCGCAGCUGAGCCUAGAGUCUAUCUCCUCAUUCGAUCAAAUUUGGGGGAAGGCCAGAGUGAAUCUACCUCCCAUUUACAGACAUAAACUUACUCAUUAACUCCUCACAGUAACUCUAUGAGAUAGGCAUUACCCCUACUUUGUAGAUGCCAAAAUUAAGGCCUAGUGAGAAUUAAUGAAAAUUACCUAAAUAUCUGAAUAUAGGGGACUGCUUUCAGUGAAUUGCUACAUUAUUCCUUUCAAGAACAUGUGGUGAUACAAACUAACUGUUGGCAAAGCGUUGCCAAGCACUGGUCCUGCUGGAUCCCCAUUAACUGGAGAAAUAAGGCUUAUCUGCAAUUAGCUCAUUCAUUGUAUGCAAAUGAUACUAAUAGCUUGAAAACAGUGUGUUCUCUUAAGUAGGUUAAACAUUCCCUUCUGAAAUCUUGUUUAUACUAUUUGAGCAACAAACUCUUCUUUUUUUCUUUCUUUUUUUGAGACAGAGUCUCCUUCUGUUGCCCAGGCUGGAGUGCAGUGGCGUGAACUUGGCUCACUGCAACCUCCGCCUCCCGGAUUCAAGCGAUUCUCCUGCCUCAGGCUCCCCCGUAGCGACUAAAGGCAUGCACCACCACACCCAGCUAAUUUUUUAUUUUUAGUACAGACAGGGUUUCAUUAUGCUGGCCAGGCUGGUCUUGAACUCCUGACCUCAGGUGAUCCACCCACCUCAGCCCCCUCAAAGUGCUGGGAUUACAGGCAUGAGCCACCGUGCCUGGCCCAAACUCUUCUUUUAUGGAGCAAGACAAACUCAGCCAGACCAGGCUGGGAGAAGGAUUACAAAUUGUCACUCAUUUGAGAUGAGACAUGGAGGUGUUGACAAGUGCUUGCCAACCUCACUAAUGGGAACCCAUGGAACAGAGGGCCAGCAAGAUUCAGCAUCACCUGAAUUAUUAAGCAUUUGUUGAGAGAUGAAAAUGGCUUCUUUUCUACCACCUGGAGAAACUCAAACUUUUUGCCAACGAAGUCUUGCCAACUGGAUGUCCUGCUGGGCCUACUUUAAUGAACAGAUAAGACUCCAUUUUAAUUAGCACACUAAUUGUUUCCAUGCAAAUGAAUGUGGGGAAAGAUCUUGCAAACAGUUUAUUUCCUUAAGUGGGUUACCAUGGUGCCCCCUGUAGCCCUGUGUAGGGGGCUCAAUUGCACAGCCAACUGUUUUGUUCAUUGAAGAGCACAAAUCCAGCUCAUCAAGCAUCUCCUGAACACAGCCCCUGUGCUGGGCUCUGUGCAAGAGUUGGGGAAUAAACCACACCCAGACCCUAUCUUCUAGGAGCCCACUGUAGAAGUCAAAGGUGAGAGUUGCUAAACUCUGUUGGGUAGAGCUCCUGGUUGUAAGCAACAGAAAUAAAUUCAGGAUAAUUGAUACAAAACAGAUGUAUUGGAGAGGUUAGGGGCAGAGGCAGGCCGGGCAGCAGGAGCCAUCUGGUAGGUACGCUGCCACUACUCAGACUCACCUCUGCCUGCCCCUGUGUCCUUGUGGCAUCAAGGCCAUUGCCUCUUGCCCGGAUGACCUCUGUAUUCUUCUCGCUGGUAUCCUGACUUCCCCUCUGGCCACCCCGCAAUACAUUCUCUCCAUGGCAACCAGAGGACACAUUUAAAACUGAAACUAGACAAUGCCACUGAAGGAAACCAAAAUAUUUCUCUCCAACAUAGGAUUUAUGGGUCUUUGUUAAAAUACCAUUCAGGCAAAACUCCUAAGCCACUGCCUUAAGAGAGAAAUACUUUUGAACUGAAGCCUCACCCACAUGAUGGGUAUAGCAUGUGUUAAUAAACUUCAGUUUGUUUUUCUUCUGUUAAUCUGACUUUUGUUUUCAGGAGAGUAUCUCAACUAUGGGCCUAAGAAGAGAAAGAAAAAAAAUUGUGAUUUCUUCCCUAGACCACCAGUGUGUGCCAAAACCUCUGAAGACCCAGUGUCCAGAGUUUGGUUUUCAAUAUUCUUCUCUAAAAAAAUAAACCACUGCUACCUGGAGAAAUGUCUGGUCCUAAGACUGGGCUGGAAAUACAGAAGAUGAGUCUGCGUCAGAGUAAGAAAAUGCUAAAAAGAAAUCAGUGAGGGUGUACCAAAAGGACAGAGGUGCCAACUGAAAGAGCUCCUCAUGGCCCAAACUAGAUAAUCUGAUUAAGGAAUUAAACAAUGUAGUAUUGCAGUAUAACUCAAAGUAUAAAGAAAAUAUCUAUGAUAUCUGUAUCUAUAAUAUCUAUGAGUCUGUACUGAUAUAAAUAGAUGAUUGAAUAAGUAAAUAAAUAAGGAAGAAUAGAUGAAUCUGCCACAGAGACGAGUUCCAAAUAAUUUUUGUAGAUACUCCCUGCAUCAAGGAGGCAGAACAUGACACUUCACCCUAUAAGCUGCAAACAGUGACUUCCUUCUCUAGGGUAGAGUAUGGCAAGGGGAAAAAAGAAUAGGUUCACAGCAGAGAAAUGUGGCAAACACCACCUCAGCCAGGUGAUCAAGGUCCGCAUCAACAGUAAUAAGUUGUGUUAGUAGCAUGCACUCUUAAUAUCAUAUGAGGAGAAGGGCACUUUACCUCUGUGGUCUUCCUCCUAAAACCCGUAAGCCCAGUCAAGAAACCCAUAACUCCAUGAGAAAAACAUCAACCAAAACCAUGUUGAAAAGACAGUCUACAAAACACUUGACCAGCAGUCCUCAAAACUGUCAAGAACACCAAAAACAAGGAAGCUCUGGAAAACUGAGGAAGGAAAUGAGAUUUAGCUCUAGGGGUGGGGCUCGGACACUAGACCAAAUUGAGGACUAGCUAAAACAGGUCAGGGUGGAAGCAGCUUUCUGUAAGAUCCGCCCAUCAGUGUGCCUUGUCAGUUUACCAUGGCCACCUGGAAGUUACUACCCAUUUCCAUGGCAACAACCCAACAACCUGGAAGUUGCCACCCUUUUUCCUAGAAAUUUUUGCAUAAACCACCCCAUUUUCUUUUUUGAGGUGGAGUCUUGUUCUAUCGCCCAGGCUGGAGUGCAAUGGCAUGAUCUUGGCUCACUGCAACCUCUGCCUCCCGGGUUCAAGCUAUCCUCCCACCUCAGCCUCCCAGUAGCUGAGAUUACAGGCAUGCCCAGCUAAUUUUUGUAUUUUUAGUAGAGAUGGGGUUUUGCCAUGUUGCCUAGGCUGGUCUGGAACUCCUGACCUCAAGUAAUCCACUUACCUCAGCUGGGAUUACAGGCAUGAGCCACUGUGCCCUGCCAAACCACUCCAUAAUUUGCAUGUAAUUAAAAGUGGGUAUACAUAUGAGCACAGAGUUGCCUCUGAGCUGCUACUCUGGGUGCACUACCUAUGGGGUAGCCCUGCUCUGCAGAGAGCAUUCCCGCUGCUGCUGCUGCUGUGCACUGCUGCGUCAAUAAAAGUUGCUGUUUAUCACCAUUGGUUCACCCUUGAAUUCUUUCCUGGGUGAAGAACCCUCCCAGGAUAAGCCCCAACUUGGAGGUUUGCCUGCCCUGUAUCAAAACCAUCACUACCAAGAAAAGCCUAAGAAGACAUGACAACUAGAAGUAAUGCAGUGUCUUGGAUGGAACACUGGAGUACAAAGGACAUCAGAUAAAAGGGAAAUCUGAAUCAAGUAUGGACCUUAGUUAAUCAUAAUGUAUCAAUGCUGGCUCCUUAGUUGUGACAAGUGAACCAUCCUAAUGCAACAUGUUAGCAAUAGGGCAGCGGUCCCCAGCCCUUUUGGCACCAGGGACCGGUUUCGGUUUCGUGGAAGACAAUUUUUCCAUGAACUGGGGUGGCAGGGGAUGGUUUCAGGAUGAAACUGUUUCACCUCAGAUUGCCAGGCAUUAGAUUACCAUAAGGAGCAUGCAACUCAGAUCCCUUGAAUGCACAGUUCACAAUAGGGUUCGUUCUCCUAUGAGAAUCCAGUGUUGCUGCUGAUCUGACAAGAGGCAGAGCUCAGGCAGUCAUGCUCACUCGCCCAUCGCUCACCUCUUGCUAUGCGGUCUGGUUCCUAACAGGCCAUGAACCAGUACCAGAACCCCAACAGGGGUUGAGGACCCUUGCAACAGGGGAAACUGGGUGUGGGGUAUGUGCGAUGUAUUAUCCUUGAAACUUUCCUGUACAUUUAAAACUAUUGUAAAAUAAGAUAUUUAUUGUAAAAAUUAAGUAAACAAAAUCUGCUGAAGGCUUCUCAGUGGACUAGGAAUAAAAUUCACCCUUCUUAUCUUGGCUGACAACACCUGUGUAACCUGGUCUCCUAUCCCCUCUCUGGCCACAUUGGCCUUCACUUGGGCUAGGACACAGGGCCUUUGCUCUUGGUGUUCCCUCCCCUAGAGUGCUCUUCCUCUUGUGCCUCUCUCUCUCUCUCAUCUUCCCUCCCUCCCUUUCCCCCACCCCACACUUCCUCCCUCUUGGCCAAGUCCUCCUUAUUGUUCACAUCUCAGCUUAAAUGCCACCUGUUUGGGGAAGCCACCUUGAGAAAUAUCUUAAGUGUACCCCCGCUGUCACUCUCCACCCCAGCAUUACAUUUGAUUCCUGCGCUGAAUCUGUGCCAAUCUCCCAUCAUUUUCUGUAAUUGUUCACCUGUUUAUUUCUCAGCAUCCCUAGCACAAUGGGCUCAGCCAUUCACAACAGUUCCCCUGGCACCUUGCAAGUAGUACUGGUUUAAUGAACAUCUGAUGGAUGAAGGGUGGAACCCAUGCCUGUCAAUUUGACAGGCAGAUGUGCUAGCCUUGUCACUCCCUUUGUGGACCUUGCUGCCUCUGGAAACCUUCCCUGAUGCCCACUUUGCACCCAAGCCUUGGUCUUUCAAUCCUCCAUACUCCCAUUCAUCCCUGUGGUUAAAGCAACGUGAUGCUUCUUAAAUACAGUCCCUGUCCUGGGUGUCAAACAACCUUGAAGCGAUUCUUACUCCAUGAUCGUAGUUACUUAGUUCCACGUACCCAAAAGUGCCUGUCAUUGCAUAAUUAGGAUGCACGAUGGAACAAAAUCAUCCCCAUGUUUUAUACCUCUAUCAUUUCCAACCUAUAUUUUUGUUACAACACCAAAAGUAAUUCAUGUAGCGAGAGGAUGGAGGGAGUACCUGGAGAACAGAGAGGGUGAUUUUCCUUUUGUCUUUCCCCAUGGCAAUAAGGAGGGAGCGCUGGUGACUUAGAGAAGAAAGCUAUUCAUCAUGUCCUCUGGAGAGAGCAGAUUCUCUUGCCCUGGAGCAUCCUACUGAGCUGGGUGCCGCGUUGUUUGUGGAACUUUCCAGAAUGAAUGAAAACCAGUAUGUCUUUGUGCUUAAGGCACAUUUCCAAUUUUCUGUGCUGACUGAGCAAAGAACUUCCUCAUCCUCGUGAAGGAUGCUUUGCAAAGUUAAAGACAACUUUUACUUAUGGAGGGAGCGGGAGACAGAGGGGUAUCCUUUAAUGCGUGCAGAGUUUCAGCCUGGGAUGAUGGAAAAGGAGAUGGAUAAUGACGGUGGUUGCAUGACCAUGUGAAAGUCCUUAU
rnacentral:lncRNA from 1 species